rnacentral:rRNA from 1 species
AGCGUUGUUCGGAAUUACUGGGCGUAAAGCGCGCGCAGGCGGCUCUUCAAGUCAGGGGUGAAAGCCCAGAGCUCAACUCUGGAACUGCCUUUGAGACUGAAGAGCUUGAGUACGGGAGAGGUGAGUGGAAUUCCCAGUGUAGAGGUGAAAUUCGUAGAUAUUGGGAAGAACACCGGUGGCGAAGGCGGCUCACUGGCCCGUUACUGACGCUCAGGCGCGACAGCGUGGGGAUCAAACAGG